rnacentral:rRNA from 1 species
AUUGAACGCUGGCGGCAUGCUUUACACAUGCAAGUCGAACGGGGUGAGGGGGCAACCUCUCAUUCAGUGGCGAACGGGUGAGUAAUGCAUCGGAACGUACCCUGUAGUGGGGGAUAACGCCGGGAAACCGGCGCCAAUACCGCAUAUUUCUCUACGGAGGAAAGCGGGGGAUUCGCAAGAACCUCGCGCUAUGGGAGCGGCCGAUGUCCGAUUAGCUUGUUGGUGGGGUAAUGGCCCACCAAGGCUACGAUCGGUAGCUGGUCUGAGAGGAUGAUCAGCCACACUGGGACUGAGACACGGCCCAGACUCCUACGGGAGGCAGCAGUGGGGAAUUUUGGACAAUGGGGGCAACCCUGAUCCAGCCAUGCCGCGUGCGGGAAGAAGGCCUGGUUGGUAACCGU